rnacentral:rRNA from 1 species
AGCGAACGCUGGCGGCAGGCCUAACACAUGCAAGUCGAACGAACUCUUCGGAGUUAGUGGCGGACGGGGGAGUAACACGUGGGAACGUGCCUUUAGGUUCGGCAUAACUCAGGGAAACUUGUGCUAAUACCGAAUGUGCCCUUCGGGGGAAAGAUUUAUCGCCUUUAGAGCGGCCCGCGUCUGAUUAGCUAGUUGGUUAGGUAAAGGCUCACCAAGGCGACGAUCAGUAGCUGGUCUGAGAGGAUGCUCAGCCACAUUGGGACUGAGACACGGCCCAAACUCCUACGGGAGGCAGCAGUGGGGAAUCUUGCGCAAUGGGCGAAAGCCUGACGCAGCCAUGCCGCGUGAAUGAUGAAGGUCUUAGGAUUGUAAAAUUCUUUCACCGGGGACGAUAAUGACGGUACCCGGAGAAGAAGCCCCGGCUAACUUCGUG